rnacentral:rRNA from 1 species
AUGCCAGGAAGGAUAGAUGUGACCUUCAAGGCGGUGGUGCAAGAUCUCGAUCUGAGUGGGAUGGACAGACGCGACAACCCAGACGGUAGCACUAACGCGGGAGGGACGGAAGGAGAUGAGGAGGUCCAAAAGUCGAUGGCUGAUCGACUUUUCUGUCAUAGAAAGUUUUGGGCGCAAACGGCAGAACCUACAUAUUAUCUAGGGUCUACCCAAAAAAGGCCAAAAGUCACACAUGUUCUUCUUGAAAGUGGGCAGUCCAAUCUCCAGAUCACAUCUCUGAGAGUCUGGGAGAUGAGGAACGUGAAUAUUUUCAUACUUUAG